GGUUAAGCGACUAAGCGUACACGGUGGAUGCCCUGGCAGUCAGAGGCGAUGAAGGACGUGCUAAUCUGCGAUAAGCGUCGGUAAGGUGAUAUGAACCGUUAUAACCGGCGAUUUCCGAAUGGGGAAACCCAGUGUGUUUCGACACACUAUCAUUAACUGAAUCCAUAGGUUAAUGAGGCGAACCGGGGGAACUGAAACAUCUAAGUACCCCGAGGAAAAGAAAUCAACCGAGAUUCCCCCAGUAGCGGCGAGCGAACGGGGAGCAGCCCAGAGCCUGAAUCAGUGUGUGUGUUAGUGGAAGCGUCUGGAAAGGCGCGCGAUACAGGGUGACAGCCCCGUACACAAAAAUGCACAUGCUGUGAGCUCGAUGAGUAGGGCGGGACACGUGGUAUCCUGUCUGAAUAUGGGGGGACCAUCCUCCAAGGCUAAAUACUCCUGACUGACCGAUAGUGAACCAGUACCGUGAGGGAAAGGCGAAAAGAACCCCGGCGAGGGGAGUGAAAAAGAACCUGAAACCGUGUACGUACAAGCAGUGGGAGCACGCUUAGGCGUGUGACUGCGUACCUUUUGUAUAAUGGGUCAGCGACUUAUAUUCUGUAGCAAGGUUAACCGAAUAGGGGAGCCGAAGGGAAACCGAGUCUUAACUGGGCGUUAAGUUGCAGGGUAUAGACCCGAAACCCGGUGAUCUAGCCAUGGGCAGGUUGAAGGUUGGGUAACACUAACUGGAGGACCGAACCGACUAAUGUUGAAAAAUUAGCGGAUGACUUGUGGCUGGGGGUGAAAGGCCAAUCAAACCGGGAGAUAGCUGGUUCUCCCCGAAAGCUAUUUAGGUAGCGCCUCGUGAAUUCAUCUCCGGGGGUAGAGCACUGUUUCGGCAAGGGGGUCAUCCCGACUUACCAACCCGAUGCAAACUGCGAAUACCGGAGAAUGUUAUCACGGGAGACACACGGCGGGUGCUAACGUCCGUCGUGAAGAGGGAAACAACCCAGACCGCCAGCUAAGGUCCCAAAGUCAUGGUUAAGUGGGAAACGAUGUGGGAAGGCCCAGACAGCCAGGAUGUUGGCUUAGAAGCAGCCAUCAUUUAAAGAAAGCGUAAUAGCUCACUGGUCGAGUCGGCCUGCGCGGAAGAUGUAACGGGGCUAAACCAUGCACCGAAGCUGCGGCAGCGACGCUGAUGCGUUGUUGGGUAGGGGAGCGUUCUGUAAGCCUGCGAAGGUGUGCUGUGAGGCAUGCUGGAGGUAUCAGAAGUGCGAAUGCUGACAUAAGUAACGAUAAAGCGGGUGAAAAGCCCGCUCGCCGGAAGACCAAGGGUUCCUGUCCAACGUUAAUCGGGGCAGGGUGAGUCGACCCCUAAGGCGAGGCCGAAAGGCGUAGUCGAUGGGAAACAGGUUAAUAUUCCUGUACUUGGUGUUACUGCGAAGGGGGGACGGAGAAGGCUAUGUUGGCCGGGCGACGGUUGUCCCGGUUUAAGCGUGUAGGCUGGUUUUCCAGGCAAAUCCGGAAAAUCAAGGCUGAGGCGUGAUGACGAGGCACUACGGUGCUGAAGCAACAAAUGCCCUGCUUCCAGGAAAAGCCUCUAAGCAUCAGGUAACAUCAAAUCGUACCCCAAACCGACACAGGUGGUCAGGUAGAGAAUACCAAGGCGCUUGAGAGAACUCGGGUGAAGGAACUAGGCAAAAUGGUGCCGUAACUUCGGGAGAAGGCACGCUGAUAUGUAGGUGAAGUCCCUUGCGGAUGG
rnacentral:rRNA from 1 species